GACGAACGCUGGCGGCGUGCUUAACACAUGCAAGUCGAACGGAAAGGCCCUGCUCUUGUUGGGUUCUCGUUUGGCGAACGGGUGAGUAUCACGCGAGUAACCUCCCCUUGACUUUCUGAUAACUUCAGGAAACUGGGGCUCUUACCCGAUAUGAUCUCCUGCUGCAUGGUGGGGGUUGGUAAGUUUCGGCGGUUGGGGAUGGACUCGCUGCUUAUCCGCUGGUUGGUGGGGUAGUUGCUUACCAAGGCUUUGACGGGUAGCCGGCCUGAGAGGGUGACCAGCGACAUUGGGACUGAGAUAGGGACCAGAAUGCUACGGGAGGCAGCAGUGGGGAAUCUUGCACAAUGGGGGGACGCCUGAUGCAGCAACGCCGGGUGCGGGAUAACGGCCUUCGGGUUGUGAACAGAUUUCGCCUGUGACGAAGCGUGAGUGACGGUAAUGGGUAAAGAAGCACCGGCUAACUACGUG
rnacentral:rRNA from 1 species